CCAAUAGCGUAUAUUAAAGUUGUUGCAGUUAAAAAGCUCGUAGUUGAAUUUCGGAGUUAGUAGAUUGGUCAUGCCUCUGGUAUGCACUGGUCUCACUGAUUCCUCCUUCCUGAUGAGCCGUAAUGCCAUUAAUUUGGUGUUGCGGGGAAUUUGGACUGUUACUUUGAAAAAAUUAGAGUGUUUAAAGCAAGCUAACGCUUGAAUACAUUAGCAUGGAAUAAUGAAAUAGGACGUUCGAUCCUAUUUUGUUGGUUUCUAGGAUUGACGUAAUGAUUAAUAGGGAUAGUUGGAGGCAUUAGUAUUCAAUUGUCAGAGGUGAAAUUCUUGGAUUUAUUGAAGACUAACUACUGCGAAAGCAUUUGCCAAGGAUGUUUUCAUUAAUCAAGAACGAAAGUUAGGGGAUCGAAGACGAUCAGAUACCGUCGUAGUCUUAACCAUAAACUAUGCCGACUAGGGAUCGGAUGAUGUUAAUUUUUUAAUGACUCACUCGGCGCCUUACG
rnacentral:rRNA from 1 species